CUGAAGUAACCCUUUAAGUUCCAAACAGAUCACCAAGUUUUUUUUGUUUUGUUUUUUUGUAUUUUGUACUGACUUAGUGCCUACUGUAUACAGUACAUAAAAUUACCAGUAACAUCACACCUAAUAUAAUAGUAACACACCUAUACUAUUUAUAUGAAACAAGUCAUUCAAAAUGCAAGUCACAAACUUUGUAUUUGCUUCUGUUCUCAUUCAUAAAUGAAUAAAUUUGUGCAUGAUUUAAGUCCAUUGGUCUUAAUGGUUAUUGUGUUUGUGUGUGUGUGGUCCUGGUAUUCCCUAAAUUAUUGGGACUAAUGUCUACAAGUAAAGUAAUAUCAGUAAAAUUUGAUCUUGUGGGGCCUUUUUUUCUUUUUUUUAGUCCCAUGAGGAAACAAGCUUAUAAAUCAUACAGAAUUAUUAAUGUUGAAAAUCUAAAAUAGCAGAAAGUUUUCUGUGAUGGAUAGGUUUAGGGGUAGGGUUAGUACAGGCAGACAGAAUAUACUUUGUAUAAGAUAGAAUAUACUCAGUAUAAAAUCCAUUAAGUCUAUGGGAAGUCCCCCAUAAAACAUGGAAACAUUCAUCACAAAAGGGCAACAAAUAAACACACUUGCACAACUCUGUUGCUGCCCCGGAAAAACAAACUGCAUCCAUUGUUCCUUUAACACUGGGUUCUUCGGGAAGCUGAACAUGGUUAUCUUUCCCUCACAACCAAAAAAACACUUCAUUUGUGACAUUGUUGAUUUCGUGGUCUAAAAACAAAAUGACAAAUCUUUCUCGAGCAAAACCUGUGCAGUGCUGCCAACAACUUCUGUAACCUGAACAAAGCACGUUGAUGGACAUGCUUUUGUUCUCUCGCUCUGGUUGAUGUGUGCGUGCGCGCUUCCUGGGGAAGUGUCCAUACAAGGAAUUCUGCCAUUUAUGAUGUCAUAAAGGGCCAUACUUGAAAAAAACUUUCUGAAACUUAUACAAAUCCUAUAGGAGUGGAUGAUGGAUGAAUCUACCACUUUCCAUUUUAGGUCGAAUUGCAACAGUUAAAAUGUGUAUACUACCCAAAAUUCUUUAUUUAUUCACAAUGACUCCUGUACAACCAAACAAAAAAUGGUUUACAUCAUUAAAUCAAAUAACAAGUAAAUUUUACUGGAAAAACAAGAAUCCGAAAAGAAUGUAAGGACAUAAUCAUUCAGAUCUUCUGUCACUCACAAGUAAAAUCAAACAACUAAAUCUCUUCAAGAAUUUGACGAUUAAAACAACUCUCACUGCUUGGUGGAAAAUUAAUACAUUGAUAAAUCACAAGCUCGUACCACACAUCAACUCACCUAUAUGGAAUAAUCCGGAUUUCACAUAACUUGUUCUCUGGCAACACCUUCAUCACGUUUUCAGAAUUAAUGCAGAAGUUUAAUUUAGGGAAAGAACACUAUUAUUACUACUUACAAAUCAGGAAUUCUAUUAAAACCACAUCCGGAAUUACAGAUAUUGCACAACCUUCCCCAAUUAUUAAACAUAUUAAUACAAUCAUAACUCAAUAAAGACUCUCACAAAACUAUAUAUGAGUAAUAUCACACGAGUAGCCGUGCGAUAUGGCUGUAUAUAAGCACGGCUGUGAUUCGUCCGUAGGCACGAGGCCGCAGGUAAUCACAGCGUGCUGAUAUACCAACCCAGUCUCAUAUGAAAACGUAUCCUGACUACGUUGGUCCAAAGUGCAAAACGUAGAGGGGUUACAAUAAUGGCCCUUAAAUUGUAUGACUGUUACAAUUUUUUUUGCCUAUUGUUUUGCGUCCAAGUCACGUGACUUUAGAGAGCCCGGCCGUGAGAACAAAAAACAUGGCGGACGUUUCUCUACUUUUUAGUGAAAAAAACAAUAUUUUGAGUUAGUUUCUGCAUAAAAAUAAGGUUUGAUUACAUUUUUAGCGAGAAAUAUAUAUUCUAUUUUCAUAAUAUUCACUCAGUGAAUGUACAUAAUCACUCGCUUGCGCGUUGUUGCAAAGAUUUUUCUGAUCUCGCCAGAAUAAUGUGAAACUGCUACGUUUUGUUUGCUAUGAACAAUAUUUUGAGUUAGUUUCUGCAUAAAAAUAAGGUUUGAUUACAUUUUUAGCGAGAAAUAUAUAUUCUAUUUUCAUAAUAUUAGCGUCAAAAACUGACGCGAAUUUUAUUGGUAUGAAAUCACGCUGAAGAAGUCUCCUUCAGAACACAUCGCGAUAUUUGGCAUCAGUUCGCGUGUGCUGGAUGUUGGUAAGUAGUCGUAAAUACGCUGUUCUAAUGUUUGAUAUAAUGUCUUUUCUGUUUGCAGAUAUUAAUCAGAUUAACGUUAGCUCCCUCAUGUUCAGUCACUGCAUUAUAUCUGUCACCUCCGCUGAGGUUUUGCUUUUCAUUGUUUUCUAUAUUAAAUACUAAACUAGGGUGAUUAAACACUGUCACGUGACGUGCAAUAUAUUGCACAAUAUAAUAUAACAUAUUCAUAUCAGGUUCAAAGUAGUACAAGUGUAGUUUCAAAAUGGUAUUUGUUGUAGAAGCACGGUAAAAAAAAACAACACUUACCAUGCUUUUUACCACAGUAUUGGUAGUUUUAAUGUGAUUUUUGUUGUAAAUACAGAGUAACCACAACACUUAUCAUGCUUUUAAUGCCUAAUAAUGUUAAAUCCAAAAACUGUAAGGUCAAUAAGAACUUCUUUCCUAUAUAUAUUUAGGCUAUAUAUAAACCUAUAUAUUAUAAAUAAUGAUAUUUUCUUUUCUCUUGUUUUAGCUGAAAAGACAAAAAGGGCCUUUCGGAAAUGGAUGAAGGAGACAGAAAGCUGCAAAGGCAAAUAAUUGCAAUGGAUUACUUGCAAAUGUGAUUACUUAGUCCUUCUUUUUAGGAUCUCUACAACGUCAAACUCAACAGCUCUUUUAAGAGCCGACCCUCACAAGAGCUACUAGUGAGUCGCUGCAAACCUGCCGUGAUCAGCCCUUUCCAGAGAAGGAAGACCAGUCCUUAUAUCAAAACAAGCUCAUCGAAGUCCUUUGUUUAGGGUGAGGAAGGAACAUGACCAUCUCAUGCCCAAAGAAGACAGAAGUCCAUUGAUAGCAAGUGAAGUCACUAACAGAAGAUCCUAGAGGAAAAACGACUGAUGUGCAGCUACAGAGGAACACAAGAGGCAGAAAUAUGCAUGGCCAUGGCUUCUUCAUGAGUACGACCAGGACUGAAGAACGCCUGACAAUGGGAUGUUAAGACUUCUUCCUCUGGUUGAGAAAAAGCUACAGCACAUCAGUGAUCACAUCUUCUGGUCAUCAGUUGUACUGUAGAGUACAACUGAACAAACUGUUUAGAAGAAGAACAUGAACAUGAUAGAGACAUGUACAGGGAAGAGCAAGAACCCAGUUCAGCUGUGAUAAUGAAUCUUUAUUUUAAACUCAAUAUCAAAUCUGUUUUCUGGAUCAUAGUUGACUGGAUGGGAUUCUGUGGCGCUCAUUUGUGCAAUAGGAGUAAAGUCUGUGAAUGGAUUAUUAUGACGUUAACGUAUUUUUGAAGACACGUUUUUAUUUAUCUUGAAUCUCAUUUGUCUUUAUGCAAAUUUCAACCUUAUGCUGUAUCCUCCAAUAAAGUGUUGUGUAAUAAA